GGCGCGUUCGUCUAGUGGCCCAGGACGCUGGCCUCUCACGCCGGAAACACGGGUUCGACUCCCGUACGCGCUACCA
rnacentral:tRNA from 2 species